rnacentral:misc_RNA from 1 species
AACGCACCUUGCGCUCCUUGGUAUUCCUUGGAGCAUGCCUGUUUGAGUAUCAUGAAAUUCUCAAAGUAAACCUUUUGUUAAUUCAAUUGGUUCUGCUUUGGACUUGGAGGUCUUUUGCGGAUUAACAUCUGCUCCUCUUAAAUUUAUUAGCUGGAUCUCAGUAUAUGCUUGGUUCCACUCGGCGUGAUAAGUUAUCACUCGCUGAGGACACUGUAAAAGGUGGCCAGGAAAUACAGAUGAACCGCUUCUAAUAGUCUAUUAAAUUAGACAAUUAAUUUUAAGAUCUGAUCUCAAAUCAGGUAGGACUACCCGCUGAACUUAA